AAACUACAUUUGUUGUGGACCUGGGAUUCCUGGAAGUGCCUUCUGAUGAAGAUAAUCAAAGGACCUGAGCCCUAGGACCAUGCCUCAGGACUGCCUGGCUUGAUGACUCCUUGCUGUCCCCAGUUCACCUGGCCGUGCUGCUGCUCCAGUUCCAACUGUUCUGCCUGCAGCUAUGGAACCCUGACCUGUUCACCGGACGUGCUACCUGUCCCAGACCUGUUGUCCCAGACCUGCUGGAACCCUGACCUAUUCACCGGACGUGCUACCUGUCCCAGACCUGCUGUUUUCAACUCUCUAGAGACAGCAGGAGCGGUAGAGAUACUCUCAAAGAUCGGCUAUGAAAAAGCCAACUGACACUUACUCUUGUGUUACUGACUUGUUGCACCCUCGACAACUACUAUGAUUAUUAUUAUUUGACAAUGCUGGUCAUUUAUGAACAUUUGAACAUCUAGGCCAUGUGCUGUUAUAAUCUCCACCCGGCACAGCCAGAAGAGGACUGGCCACCCCUCAUAGCCUGGUUCCUCUCUAGGUUUCUUCCUAGGUUUUGGCCUUUCUAGGGAGUUUUUCCUAGCCACCGUGCUUCUACACCUGCAUUGCUUGCUGUUUGGGGUUUUAGGCUGGGUUUCUGUACAGCACUUUGUGAGAUCAGCUGAUGUAAGAAGGGCUAUAUAAAUACAAUUUGAUUUGAUUUAUUGAAUUAUAAAUAGAUAUGGCUUAUUAACCUAUACGGUCCAAGUAAUGAUGAUCCAAGCUUCUUUGAAAUUAUGUAUAAGAAUUGAUCAACUCUACAAGCAACACUAGACUCUAUUAUUAUGGUGGGACAUUUUAAUACGGUUUUAAAGUCCUCUAUGGACCGUAAAGGAAAUCACACUACAAACUAUCACCCUCGGGUACUUAAGGAAAUCAUGAAUGUCAUGGAUAUUUUGGAAUUAGUGGAUAUAUGGAGGCUUAAAUACCCUGACCUAGUGAGAUAUACAUGGCGGAGGCUUAAUCAAGCUAGUUGUCUUGAUUACUUUAUUAUGUCAUUCUCUCUGGCACCAAAAGUUUAAAAAGUGUUGAUAGGGGACAGAAUGCGGUCAGACCAGCACAUAAUUGGCAUAUAUAUUACUCUUACAGAAUUUCCACGUGGGCGAAAAUAUUGGAAAUGUAAUCAAAGCCUGCUGGAUGAUAACUUGUUUUUAACUAGAACAGAAUAAUUUAUAAAUGACUUUUUCCGACAUAACAUAGGUACAGCAGAUCCCCUUAUUGUAUGGGACACUCUUAAAUGUGCCUUUUGAGGCCAUGCAAUUCAGUACUCAUCUAUAAAACAAAAGCAAUUUAGGUCAAAAGAGUCCAUAUUAACAAAGGAAAUUGAAGGACUAACAGUACAGAUACUGUAGAUAGCAAUAAAAGCUGUACCAUAGAGGCAGAGAAUAAGUUAGAGGAAAAACAAAAAGAAUUGGAGCAACUUAUUCAAGAAAGAUCCAGUGUAAUAUAUUAUAAAAUAAAGUGAACUGGAUGGAAUAUAUGGAAAAAUGCACCAAAUAACUUUUCAAUCUUCAACAUAGAAAUGCUACCAAGAAAAAUGUAUUGAAACUUGUUACAAAGUCGCUCAUGAUUCACCAAACUAUUUUUUGAAAGAGGAAGUAAAGUUAUUUUAAGAAUGUGUUUUCGUUUCAGUCUCCUCCAUGUCCACUAACCGAAGCUAAUUGUAUGGAUUUUGUUCCAAUUAAUAAUGUAAAAUUAACAUAUGUACAGAAAUACUCAUUUAAAGGCCAAAUUACAGAGGAGGAACAUCUUGAUGCAAUUAAAGCCUUUAAGUCCGGGAAAACUCCAGGACUGGAUGGCAUACCAGUGGAAGUAUACUUUUCUUUUUUAUAUACUCAGAGGACGAUUAUUAGCAUGUUUUAACCACUCAUAUAUAAGCGGUAGAUUAUCAGACGCACAACAAGAAGUUCAGAUUUCAUUAUUACUGAAACAGGAUCCAAGUGGCAUAUAUAAAGAUCCAGCCCAUUUAAAAAAUUGGUGGCUUCUUACACUUCAGUGUUGUGAUGCAAAAAUUCUAGCUAAAUGCUUGGCGCAUAGAAUUAAAAAGGUUUUGUCAGAUAUUAUUCAUCCUAAUCGGACAGGUUUUUUAACAUGGACAAUACAUUGGAGAUAAUAUAAGACAAGUACUGGAAACAAUGGAAUACUAUGAAAUAUCGGGGAAACCAGGCCUGGUUUCAUAGCUGAUUUUGAAAAUACUUUUGAUAAAGUACGACUGGAGUUUAUAUAUAAAUGCCUGGAAUAUUUCACUUUUGGAAAAUCUUAUAAAAUGGGUUAAAGUUAUGUAAUGUAAACCUAGGUGUAAAAGAGUAAAUAAUGUCUACAUCUCAGAAAGUUUUAAACUGUCAAGAGGAGUAAAACAAGGUUGUCCACUAUCGGCAUAUCUAUUUAUUAUUGCCAUCGAAAUGUUAGCUGGUAAAAUUAGAUCCAACAAUAAUAUUAAGGGAUUAGAAAUUCAUGGCUUAAAAACAAAGGUGUCAUUGUAUGCUGAUGAUUCAUGUUUUCUUUUAAAACCACAAUUAUAAUCCCUCCACAGCCUCGUAGAGGAUCUUGAUACUUUUUCUAACCUCUUUGGAUUAAAACCAAAUUAUGUGCCCUUUUAUGUUAUUAUGUUUUGGAUCACAAAAAAAUUCAACUUUUACAUUACCGUGUAGUUUACCAAUAAAAUGGUCUGAUGGUGAUGUGGACAUACUCUGUAUACAUAUCCCAAAAUAAAGAAAUGAUCUCACUCCAAUACAUUUUAAUAGAAAGUUAUCAAAAAUAGAUACGAUAUUGCUACCAUGGAAAGGAAAAUACCUGUCUAUGAGUGGAAAAAUCACCCUGAUUAACUCUUUAGUCAUAUCACAGUUUAAUAAUAAUAGAACAAAUACACUAAUUGAUCAAAUAAAAAACGUAUCUUUCGAGAAAAAAAAUUAGAAAAAUUAUAAUCUUUGUAAAUGAUAUCAUAAAUAGGAUUGGUGGAGUUAUUUUAUUUAUUUUUUAUUUACCCUUUAUUUAACCAGGAAAAGCCCAUUGAAACCCAGAGUUUCUAUUUCAAGGGAGACCUGGCCAAGAAGGCAGCAACAAUCAAUACAUUACAUAAUUAAAACACAACAAUACAAUACAACAUGAUCCAGCCUAAAAAAAGCAUUUACACUCCUCUGUAACAGAGUCUCCCGUCAAUAUUUUAAAUAAAUUCAGUGGCACUAACAUAUCUAGAUGAAGCAUGGAUUGUAGACUAUUCCAUGCCUCUGUUACACAAGAAGAGAAGGCAGUCUUGCCUAAUUCUGUGAAUGUCCUGGGGACUUUAGGUAGCAACCACCUAGCAAACCGGUUAUGGUAACUGCUGGUGGUGAAGGAGACCAGAUUACAGAAGUAAAGCGGGAGUUCACCCAAUAGGGCUUUGUAGAUGAGCACAUACAAAUGUAUCUUUCUGCGCAUAUAAAGUGAGGUCCAACCUACGAUUUGGUACAAGGUGCAAUGGGUGGGUGAGUGACUUGGUAUUUGUAAUGAUGUGGAAGGAUGCAUGAUAAACAGAAUGUACAAUCUGUAGAAGCUAUGAGAAUAGAAAGGUUCAGUAUUUUUGUGAAGCAUCACAGUACAGUUGAAAAAUAUAUGGCAAAUAGAAAUCUAAAUGGAUGGUUUUAAGAGAUAGUUGGAAGGAGUUGAAUGGAGCUGAAGGGUGGGACUAAUAACAACAAGAUAACAAAUGUAAAACAUACAGUGCCUUGCAAAAGUAUUCAUCCCCCUUGGCAUUUUUCCUAUUUUGGUGCAUUACAACCUCUAAUUUAAAUUGAUUUUUAUUUGGAUUUCAUGUAAUGGACAUGCACAAAAUAGUCAAAAUUGGUGAAGUGAAAUAAAAAAAUUAAAAAAUAAAUAAUACAAAACGCAAAAGUGAUGCAUGCAUACAGUUGAAGUCGGAAGUAUAAACACACAUAGGUUGGAGUCAUUGAAACUCGUUUUUCAACCACUCCACAAAUGUCUUGUUAACAAACUAUAGUUUUGGCAAGUCGGUUAGGACAUCUACUUUGUGCAUGACACAAGUCAUUUUUCCAACAAUUGUUUACAGACAGAUUAUUUCACUUAUAAUUCACUGUAUCACAAUUCCAGUGGGACAGAAGUUUAAAUACACUAAGUUCACUGUGCCUUUAAACAGCUUGUAAAAUUCCAGAAAAUUAUGUCAUGGCUUUAGAAGCGUCUGAGAAAACAAUUGUAGACCUCCACAAGUCUGGUUCAUCCUUGGGAGCAAUUUCCAACGCCUGAAGGUAUCACAUUCAUCUUUACAAACAAUAGUACGCAAGUGUAAAGACCAUGGGACCACGCAGCCAUCAUACUGCUCAGGAAGGAGACACGUUCUGUCUCCUAGAGAUGAACGCACUUUGGUUCUAAAAGUGCAAAUCAAUCCCAGAACAACAGCAAAGGACCUUGUGAAGAUGCUUGAGGAAACAGGUACAAAAGUAUCUAUAUCCACAGUGAAACAAGUCCCAUAUCGACAUAACCUGAAAGGCCGCUCAGCAAGGAAGAAGACACUGCUCCAAAACCAGCAUAAAAAAGUCAGACUACGGUUUGCAACUGCACAUGGGGGCAAAGGUCGUACUUUUUGUAGAUAUGUCCUCUGGUCUGAUGAAACAAAAAUAUAAUUGUUUGGCCAUAAUGACCAUCGUUAUGUUUGGAGGAAAAGGGGGGAGGCUUGCAAGUUUGAAGAACACCAUCCCAACCGUGAAGCAUGGGGGUGGCAGCAUCAUGUUGUUGGGGUGCUUUGCUGCAGGAGGGACUGGUGCACUUCACAAAAUAGAUGGCAUCAUGAGGCAGGAAAAUGAUGUGGAUAUAUUGAAGCAACAUGUCAAGACAUCAGUCAGGAAGUUAACAACUAGGGUGGCACACCUCGACAAUAGAUGCAAAGAUAUGGAAAGUUGAAUGUGGAGGAACAACAUUCGUCUACUGGGAAUACCAGUGGGAGUGGAGGGCCCAAGACCCACGGAGUUCAUGGCACAUCUGCUUCAGGAGCUGCUCGGUCUGGAGGAGAAGCCACUGCUAGACCGGGCCCACCACACUCUGCGUAGCCGGCUCCGGGAUGGAGAACCCCUGCAACCAUUUGUCAUCAGGGUGCAUUUCUUUCACGUCCGCAAUGACAUACUGAGGAGAUCGGGAGAAGCAUCCCUUUUCCUCUAGAAGGGUAAAAGAGUCUCGAUAUUUGCG
rnacentral:lncRNA from 1 species